AGGGUUGAAAGGUAAUUAAAAAUAAGAAUGAAAGGGUUGAAAGGUAAUUAAAAAUAAGAAAAUGAAAGGGUUGAAAGGUAAUUAAAAUAAGAAAAAUUAAAGGGUUGAAAAGUAAUUGAAACGAAGAUGAAAGGGUUGAAAGGUAAUUAAAAUAAAAAAUGAAAGGAUUGAAAGGUAAUUAAAAUAAGAGAAUGAAUGGAUUGAAAGGUAAUUAAAAUAAGAAAUGAAGGGAUUGAAGGUAAUCAAAAAUAAGAAAAAGAAAUGAUUAUAAAAACCCAAAAAGAAAAUAAAAGGGUGAAAGAUACCACCCAGAAAAAGGAAAAUUAGAAUAUUAGAAAAGAAAAGAAAAGAAAAGAAAAGAGAAAAAGAGGUGGAAGGUAAUUCAGAAAUAGGAAAAUGAGAUGAUAAGCGAAAGGUAGGGAGGAAACACGGGGUAGAGUAAAUAUUAAUAAGAAAGUGAAAGUUAAAUGAACAUUAUUAAUGUCAUGCUUGGCAGAGUAAGGGAAAAUGAGAAAGUUGAUAAAAGGUAUGAAUGAAAGACUAAGAAUAGGUGAUAAAAGUUUACAUGAAAGGUAAAAAUAAAGUAAAUAAAGAAAAUAGAAGAAACUGAAAAAAGAUCGAGUGAAAGGCAAUGAGGACACAAUAUUUAGUCACAUAAAACCGAUAAAAAUUGGAAAAGUUACGCUAAGGAUAACAAACAGGUUAAAGUAUAAAUAAAAGAUCGUGGGAACGGUAUGGAUAAACUGGAAAGGUUGCUUGACAGAUUUAAGAAAGAAAGAAAGAAAGCGAGAGAGAGAGAGAGAGAGAGAGAUAAGAGAGAGAGAGAUAGAGAGAGAAGAGAGAGAGAGAGAGAGAGAGAGAGAGAGAGAGAGAGAGAGAGAGAGAGACAUGGAUGACACUCUAGACUGUACGAUGUAUUAGACAAGAAAAUUACAAUAUAGAUGAAAGAUAUGGAUGGAACACCUUGUAGAAUAAGGUAUAUUAAAGAAAGAAAAUAAAAGGUUAAGUGAAAGUUUUUAAUGGGAUAGUACAAAUAAGUACAAAUAAGAACGUCAGGUGAAAGUAAAGUUCAAAAUGAAACAAAUGUUGGUCUAACGUAUGGAUAAGGAAAUAAAAUAGUUUAGUGGAAUGUACCAAUGAUACAACACAUCGAUCCAAUAAUAAAAAGAUAAAUAAAUAAAUAAAUAAAUAUAUAAGUAAAUAGAUAAAUAAGGAAAGGCUAGGUGAAAGGUAUGAAAUAAACAAAUAAAUGAAUAAAUAAAUAGGUAAGAAAAGGCUAGGUGAAAGGUAUGAAUGACAACCAAGGGAGAGUGAUGUAAAAUUCGUAUAAUGAAAGCGUAAGUGAAAGGUUGGAUGAAACACGGGGUAUAAAUAAAAGACGAAAGGCUAAGUAAAAAGGUAUGGAUGACGAAUGGAAGAGAAAGGAAACAAAAUGUAAAUGAACGAUUAAAUAAAAGCUACGGAUGCCAUAUUGGGUAAAGAAAUACAAAAUUAAUAAAAAAAGGAAAUGUUUAGUCAUGGAUGGGAGGCUACACAGGUGGAGUAAGAAUGAAGAUAUGAAAGGUAAAGAAAAAGGUAUGGAUGACAGUGGAUAGAGUAAGGAAAAGGAAUUGAAAGGUUUAGUGAAAGGCAUAGAUGACACACUUGAGGUAGAAUAAGGAAACUGAAAGUUUGAUGUACAGGACGAAAAUAGGGGAAAAGCGUAUUAUGACUGGGUAGAAUAAGGAAAAAAUAAUAAAAUGAGUUAAUUUGUUCCUUUCAUGCUAAAAUGAAAUAAGGAAAACGAAAAACAUUUUUUUUUCCACUGCGAGAUGAAAUAUAAAAACGAAAAAAAUGAAAAGUGGUUAAUAGAUAUGGAAGAGUAAUGGAUGGUUACAAUAUAACUUUAGAUGACACUCAAAGUAGAGUAAUGAUAAUAGAAGAAACUGAAAGGUUGAGUGAAAGGCAUCGAUACAAUGUGUAGACUCAUGUACCAUUUUUUUUUUUUAGAGUGAAAGGAUAAGUGAAAGGUAUGGAUAAUACACCGGGUGUCAAAAGGGAAGACUAAAAUUUUGAAGAAGGUAUAAAUAAGAAUACGAAAGAUGAAGUGAAAGUUGUGAAUAACAGACUGGUUAGAGUAAGGUGAGAAAAAGGCAAAGCAUAAUUAAAGAAAUGAAAGUUGAGUGAAAGUUUUGAAAAAAGUUAAGGAUAAAAAUGGGA
rnacentral:lncRNA from 1 species